rnacentral:lncRNA from 1 species
AAAAGUUUUCGACUUCUCUCUACCCCCCUCGGUUGCUUUAAAUAUAUUUAAAUUCUGAGGGGGGCGCUCAGAAAUAUUUCUCAGAGCUGAGGCACUAAGAUGGCCGCCUUGAAAUUAUUUUUAAAACAACCCCCCCUCCAGCACCGCCACCCCCUCUAUAAAGAAAGAGAGAGGGGGGUAAAAUCCCCUUUUAAAACAAAAUGGCUGGCUUAAUAUUUCAUUUUUCAUACACCCCCCUCUCCCUGUUCCAUCUCAUCUCUAAGCUUCUACUCAGAAACCCACAAAUUUCUCCCUUUUUUCAUAACUGAUUAGUGCACAGAUUAAUACAUUUUCCUUGUGUAUUGAGAGAGAGAGAGAGAGAGAGAGUGUGUGUGUGUGUUGGGGGGCAUGAAGGAUUUCUGCAUAAAACAAAAAUGGCUGCUGUGACUUAACUCCCCCCUUAUAAAAAUAUUUGGGGGGGCAUUAAUCAGUACUCAUGCUCAGUCUGACAUCAGCAUAAAUUGUUAAAGGUUAACUAGUUAGAUACUAGUCCAACUAGAUUGAAUUUUUCUUUUCUUUACUAGUCUUCCUCCCCCCACCUUCCUUCUCUAAAGAAAAGCCUUUUUUUUUUUUUUUCUGAAUACUUGAGAAGGGAGUGGUUUGAUGUGAAGGUUUUUUUUUCCUUCAGGCAUUGAAAAGAAAAAAGAUGAAAUAUAUGUUUAUAUAUAACUCUCUACAUACCUCACUGAAGUCAAAAUGCAUUUAAUUGUGUACGUAUCUUUUAAAUGAGGAACGGUACUGGAUUUUUUUCUUCUUUCUUAAAAAAAGUGACAGAAAUCCUAGUGACUUUGGGGGGGAGAGAUAUGAAUAGAUACGAUGAUUGAGUUUUUUUUCAAAGGAGUCCAUGUUUGAUUCUCUCCUUCACCCAGCAUUCUCAGUGGUUUGUAAUUGUCAGUUUUAUCUCUACUUUUUCCCUUCCUCUCCUGCAGUUGCUUGCUUGUAAAAUCAUCUGACUUGAGAAAUUAAUUUGGUGGUGAAUAGGACAGAUUUUUAGAAGAAAGAGGAGAGGGUCAGAUCUGAAGAUUGUGAAAUUCUUUUCUCCUGUUGCAGCGAACACCUCUUCCUCCAUGACCUUCGACACUGAUAAAAGUGGAAGAAACUGAGGCACGGGGAGAGAAAGGCAGCUGAGAAGAGAGGAAUGAGAAAUGCUCACCCUCCCCUAGUCAACCCCGUGAUGUUACCUGGAUGACAGCACACACUCCUUGGUCUCUUCACUGAAACCUAUGUCACGGAAAGACAUGGCCACACCUGGGGGAGUGACCUGCCGUGAGGAUGUAGGUGGACGUCAUGAAUGACAUACAAGCUGUACUUACCGGCAUGUGGAGCAGGUAAGCGGCUGCUUAGACAUUUUUGUCUUUUCCUUUUGUAACUGUGUGGCCCAGGUUCACUUUGCCAAUAAACACCCUCCUCGGCCUCCCGAGUGUACAUCUGUAGGUGUGCACCCACCAUGCCUAGGUCUUAAAGGUGAGUGGCUCUAGAUCCUUUGGGUUAUUCUUAAGUCUGUCCAAGAGUUUGCCUUAGUAACUCUUAGUAAGCCUCUCUUCUGUGUCUUCUCCAUGCAUUUUAGAGACAAAGACUCAGACUGUAAACUUCUCCAUAUCAUGCACACUGCCCUCAUUUUGCUUCUUCCUGAACUUCCCUCACCUGUUGGUUCUGUCUUGUCUCUUAGCUGUCUUCCUCUCUGUUCCUGCCUCUGCUUCAGAUUGGCUGCCCUUCUGUCUGCCUGGCCUGUAUCCCUCCAUAACCUGUCUGCCUGCAAUCACACAUGUUACAGCACUUGGUAGAUUGUGUGGCGCUGUGUGUGUUAGAACAUUUCUUGUUUCCCUUCUUACCCAGUGCUUCCGUCACUGUCUGCUUCACUCUGCCUUCCUCUUUCUCUGCCUUGGAAAUACGCAGCUGAUUCUCUUUUUCCUUGCUUGCCAUCCUGCACUCCUCUGUCUGCUCCAUUCUUAGUGUGUGUGUGUGAGAGAGAGAGACAGACAGACAGACAGAGACAGAGAGAAAGAGAGAGAGACGCAUUCAUCUGUGUGGAUAUCAAGUUUUUUAACAUCACUUUUUCUUUCUUUUUUUAAAGAUGUAUUUAUUUUAUGUAUGUGAACACACUGUCACUCUCUUCAGGCACACCAGAAGAGGGCAUUGGCUCCCAUUACAGAUGGUUGUGAGCCACCAUGUGGUUGCUGGGAAUUGAACUCAGGACCUCUGGAAGAGUAGUUGGGUGCUCUUAACCGCUGAGCCAUCUCUCCAGCCCUGUCUGCUCCAUUCUUGUCUCUCUUGUGUGCACAGGUUCCUCUGUGUUUCUUUUGCCAUUUGUUCUCUGUCCUUGAGCCUUUUGUCAGUGCCUCUAUGUUUCAUUGUCUCUGAUGCCUGUCCCUACUAUCAAUUUCAGUGUGGGCAUCUCUUUCUAUACUUCCAAAAGUAAGGAAGGUUGGAAUCUCUUGGUGAGUACUUCUUGUUUCUAUUGGAAGAGUGUUGAAAUGAUAACAACACAAACCAGAGGUUGAGAGACCUCCCCAGUGUAGAAUAAGGAGCAAGGGAAACAUUGAGGAGACUCCUAAGCCAAUAAUAAGGUUAUUCAAGAAAUGUCGCUGAAACAAUAGUUAACAACCUUUCAGAUUAUACAAAGGUAUAAAUUAUUUUGCUAGAGAAAAGGUGGGCACUCUUUGAGGGGAAAGGAGAUCUGGCUCUCUGCAACAAGCUUCACCACAAGCCUUCAUGUGUGCGGCUACGGUAGCCCAGGUAGAAAACUGCUUGCCACACAAACAUGAGGACAUGAGUUCAAUCUCCAGCUCCCCCUUAAAAAGCCAAGCGCUGUUGUGCAGACUGUUGCGAUUUCAGCUCCGGAGUAGGGAGAACGGGUAGAUCCCUGUAAUUGGACGGCCAUCUAGAUUAGUCUAAUCAGCAAGAGUCUAGGGAGAGACCUACCUCAGAACACACGGUGGACAGAAAAUCUCAACCUCUGGCCUCUACGUGCACCAACACACGUGUGUGCAUAAUUACAGCAAAUACACAUGAUGUAGUAAUGUUUUUACUUAAACCUAUAAGUAAUAAUAAUAAAAUGAACAUUUAUCAGUCAUUCAACUUAGUAAAUAUAAUAUUAUCGACCUCUUUAAAAUCACAUGGAGGGGUUGAAUAGCUUGACAGUUGAGACAACUUAGUACUGUUGCGAAGGGCAACACAGACACACAAGCACACAAAUGAAUAUAAACUGAACUUGAAAACCCUCAUGAGCCUCCUACUGUUUCUACACAUUCCCGUUCUUUGUCUCCACCAAAAUUUUAUGCUUAAAAUUUUGUUUUUUGGACUGGAGAGAUGGCUCAACAGUUAAGAGCACUGACUGCUCUUCCAGAGGUCCUGAGUUCAAUCCCCAGCAACCACAUGGUGGCUCACAACCAUCUGUAAUGGGAUCCGAUGCCCUCUUCUGGUGCGUCUGAAGACAGUGAAAGUGUGCUCAUAUACAUAAAUCUUUAAAAAAUGUUAAGCCCCUCAUUCCCCAGCACAUAUGUGGAAGCCAGACGACAACUUGCAAAAGUCAACUGUUUUCUUCCACCAUGAGCGGCCCUGGGAUUGAAUUUAGUUUAUCAGGCUUGGCAGCAAGCCCCUCUAUCCACUGACCAUUUCAACAGUGCAUGGUAACUUUAAUUUUUAAAAAUUUCUAAUCUAUAGGAAAAAUCUGAAAGAAUACAGUAACUAUGUCCUCCUCAUCUAAACGUAACUGAGUGUUAAUAUUCUGUACAUCGACAAUGGGUGUGGUCUUAGGGUUUACUGCUGUGUACAGAAACCAUGACUAAGGCAACUCUUAAAGGGCAGCAUUUAAUUGGGCUGGCUGACAGGUUCAGGGGUUCAGUCCAUUAUCAUCAAGGUGGAAGCAUGACAGCAUCCAGGCAGGCCUGGUGCAGGGGGAGCUGAGAGCUCUGCAUCUUUACCUGAAAGCAGUCAAGAGAAGACUGACUUCCAGGCAGCUAGGAUGGGUCUUAAAGCCCAUGCCUAUAGUGACACACUUCCUCCAACAAGGCCACACCUCCAAAUAGUGUCAUCCCUGGCCAGGCAUAUUUAAACCACCACAGGUGUGCUGGCUAGUUUUAUGCCAACUUGGCCCAGGCUGUCAUCCUUUGGGAAGGACAAACCUCAGCUGAGAAGGCAACCCCGCCAGCUGGGCCUGUAGGCAAGACUGCGGUGCAUUUUCUCAAUGAUUGACUGAUGAAUGGGCCCAGCCCACAAUGGGCAGCACCACCCCUGGACUGCAGUCCUGGAUACUAUAGGAAGGCAGAACCAGAGAAGGCGGUGGUGCACAUGGUUAGUCCCAGCAUUUGGGAGACAGAAGCAAGCGGAUCUCUGAGUUGGAGGCCAGCUUGAUCUACAGAGCAAGUUCCAGGACAGCCAGGGCUACACAGAGACCCUGUUUUGAAAAGCCCUAAAUAGGGGGCUGGAGAGAUGGCUCAGUGGUUAAGAGCACUGACCUCAGUGAUGGCCUGUGAUGUGGAGCUGAAAUGAGCCCUUCUCAAGCUUUCAAGGUAUUUCCAUCACAGUAGUCGAGAGCCUAAUUAGGAUAAUGGACAGAUCUCUGUGAUCCAGUCUUAAGGGAAUAAAUAUCAAAUUCUGCAUGUAAUAUAAUUCCAACCAUGUAGUAAGAGAAUUUAAAUGUUAACUAUGGUUUUCCUAGAAAUAAGCAUUUUCUUUGUUUCUUCUAUAUCUAUAUCUGUCUCCCUAGUAUGUCUCUGGAGCACAUAUUCUAUGAUGAAAAACAAAACCUAAGUUGGUAGAGCAAGAAUGACUGACGUAUGGCCAUGCAGUUUGGUAGUCUCAGAGAGCAAGCCUGGAAGGACUGGGACAUAGCUCAAUGCUAGAAUCCUGGGCUCAAUACCCAGAAGAGAUGGCAUCCCUGAAGGCUCCUGCAGUCCUGCUCAGAUCCCUGACGUCUCUCCCUUGGAGAUUAGUUUUUGUGUGGCUAGCAGCAUAACUGAAUGGGUUCUAGCCAUUCUUAACAGCCUAAGUUGGACUCCCAGGAUCCACGUUGUAAAGAGGGAGAACCACCUUCUGGGUGUCCUCUGGUCUCCACGUGUAUGCUGUUGCAUAUGCACCCCCAACAUGCACACACAUAUAGUACAUAUAAAUAAGUAAAAAUUUUAGAUAAGAAAAAAAUAGGUAUCAAAAUGUCCACUGUUAAGUCUUCACCUCUUGAUUGCUUCCCGUAUUGAAAACUCACUGGCUCCAGCCUGCCAUCACCAUGGGUCACCCGUGCUACCUAGACCCUGACUCCAUGCUUACAGAGACCCUCCCCUGUCACCCUUGGGUGACCCCAGUCUCUGCACCUGCCUCCUCUGUGAUAUGAAAUAGAGGACACCCCUUUGCCACAGCUCUGCCCCUUGCUUUCUCAUCUACUUACAUAUCAUUAUUCUUGGACCUAUGACAUAGUCCUUGAAGUCUCAGCUUUCUCCUAACCAGGCCCACUUUUACUUCACCUUUUUCAAGUAGUUUAACCUGCCCUGUCAGCCGCUCUUCCCAUUUGCCUUCCUGCAAUGUUGGAUCACUGUGACUGUUUACCACCACGGGGCAAAGUGCUGCAGGUGACCCUGGCCAUCCGACUCGGUCCAGUCAGACUUAGCCCCCUAUCAGCUACCUUUGUGAGUCAAUGUUCUCCACAGUGGCUUUUCUACUUAUUUUUAAAAAUAGUUUUAACUCUGUGUGUGUGUGUGUGUGUGUGUGUGUGUGUGUGUGAGAGAGAGAGAGAGAGAGAGAGAGAGAGACAGAGACAGAGACAGAGAGACAGAGACAGAGAGAGGGAGAGAGAGACAGAGAGAGAGAGAGAAAGAGAGACAGAGAGCGCACCUGCCCCAGAGGCCAGAGGCGUUAUACUCUCUGGAGCUGGAGUUAGGUAGUUGUGAGUUGCCGUGUGGUGUAGGGAGCUGAGCCCGGUUCUCUGAAAUAGCAGUCAUAUUACUCACUUGGCCACAAUGGCUUUUUAAAACCAUCCUCAAAUUCAUCCCUUAAGAAGUCUGGUCUACUUCAAGAUAGAAGGGAAGAGGCAGGACAAGAAGAAAAAAGAACAGAUGGUUCCAGGCAGAGGAGUGCACAUUUGUGACCCCUGUACUUGGGAAGUAGAAGUGAGGGGAUCAAAUGAAAGGCCAUACACAGCUACCCAGAAAAACUGAGCCAACCCAGGCUAGGGGAGACAGCCUUGAAAGAAGAGGAGGCGGUGGGAGGGGAGGAACAGGAACAAAUAGAGACAUACUUAAAUGUGGAAAUGUAAAGCCUGCUUUCAGGAGGCUGUAGCAAGAGGAUUCUAAAUUCAAGACCAGCCUACUUUAAAACAAGACCCUGCUUCAAAAAGUAGGUUUGGCAUCAGUAUUUCAAAGGAGUCUUCUCUGAUUAAACUAUUAUCAAUACAUUCAAAACAUUUACAAUUUUAAUUUAAAUAUUAAUAAAAUAAAAAUAUUAAUAUGUUAAUAGUAAACAUAACAUUUUCAUAUAAUAAAUAUUAACAAAAUAAUACAAUAAGAAGCCGGGUAUAGCGGCACACAUCUUUAAUCACAGCACUCAGGAUGCAAAGACAGACAUCGUUCAGAUAGUUUAAGGCCAGCCUGAUCUACUUGACCACUUGCAGAGCAGCCAGGGCUACAUUAUGAGAUUCUGUCUUUUUUUUUAAAAAAGGUUUAGGGGUUGGGGAGGUGGCUCAGUGGUUGACAGCGUCCCUUCCACUUGAAAUUUGAAAAGUAGUUUUAAAGGAACAGGAUGAGGUGCAGCAAAUACGAUCCUGAUCUUCUGUAUGAGGUUUCAAGCUACGGUGAGGAAAGCCAUAAAGGAAAUUCCUUAUACGUUUAACAAAACUAAAAUUUACUGUGGACAAUAUCAAAGGACAAUCAGGGCCAGUGUGGUGGCAGGUAAUGUCACUGAAUGACAACCCUGGUGACCUGAAUUCAAUCCCCAGGACCCACAUGGUAAGAGAGAACUAAUUCAAAAAGCUGCCCUCUGACCCUUCCUCCGUAUGCUGUGGCACAGCCUGAGCACAUACACACGUGCACAUACACACCAGAAAGGAAGGAAGGAGGAGUGAAAGGACUGAAAUGGACUAGUGGUUACAGUGACUUGCUCUGGGACAACUGUGGCCCACACUUUUAAGACCAGCACUCAGGAGGCAGAGGCAAUAGGAUCUCUGUGAGUUUAAGGCCAGCCUGGUCUACAGAGGGAGCUCUAGGACAAAAGAAAGAGUACUUCAUCCCUCGAGGACCAGAACGUGGUUCUCAGCACCUGCAUUGGGCAACCUCACUGCUGCUCAUGACUCCAGCUCUACCUGGACCCAGUCUUCUGUCUUCCAUGGGCAGCCACAUGCACACAUGCAUGCCUUCACACAAUAUACACAUAUGUAAUAAAAAUUAGAAAAUUUAAACGAUUUAAAGACAAACAGGAAAAUAUACCAUACCUGACAGACUGUUCAGUAUUUUUUAAGACUUAUUUUUCUUUCAUGUCUAUAAGCAUUUUCCUUGUAUGUAUGUAAGUGCACUCCAUGCCUGGUGCCCACAGAAGCCAGAAGAGGGCACUGGAGCCCCUGGAACUGGAGUUACAGACAGUUGUAAGCUGUAAUGUGGGUGCUGGAAACAGAACCCAGGUCCUCUGAACUGCUGAGCCAUCUCUCCAGUCCCUGAGUAUUAUAUUCUUUAAUAAAGCUUAGAUAUGACAGAAACUAGUUCUUUUAAGUAGAAAGAGGUUUUAUAUUUUAUCCCUUGAGAAGUAGAGACAGGCAGAUCUCUGAGUUCAAGACCAGCCUGGUCUACACAGCAGCCAGAGCUAUGCAGGGAGAACCUGUACUUUAAAAAUAAAAGAAGAGGAAAGAAAAAGAAAAGGUGGUGGCCCAGGCCUUUUCAUAGCACUCAGGAAGCAGAGGCAGAGGCAGGCAGAUUUCUGAGUUUGAGGCCAGCUGGGUCUACAAAGUGAGUUCCAGGACUACACAGAGAACCCCUGUCUCAGAGAGAGAGAGAGAGACAGAGAGAGAGAGAGAGAGAGAGAGAGAGAGAGAGAGAGAGAGAGAGAGAGAGAGAGAGAGAGACAGAGAGAGACAGAGAGAGACAGAGAGAGACAGAGAGAGAGAGAC